AGAGAAUACGAGGACCUGAAGGCAGGUGCA
rnacentral:piRNA from 1 species